GACGAACGCUGGCGGCGUGCCUAAUACAUGCAAGUCGAACGAGAGCGACCGGUGCUUGCACUGGUCAAUCUAGUGGCGAACGGGUGAGUAACACGUGGGUAACCUGCUCAUCAGAGGGGGAUAACAUCCGGAAACGGAUGCUAAAACCGCAGAGGUCUUCGAGCCGCAGGGCUUGAAGAGGAGAAGAGGCGCAAGGUUCUGCUGACGGGUGGACCCGCGGUGCAUUAGCUAGUGGGUGAGGUAACGGCUCACCAAGGCCGGGAGGCAUAGCCGAACUGAGAUGGUGAUCGGCCACAUUGGGACUGAGACACGGCCCAAACUCCUGCGGGAGGCACCAGUAGGGAAUCUUCCGCAAUGGACGCAAGUCUGACGGAGCAACGCCGCGUGAGUGAAGAAGGUUUUCGGAUCGUAAAACUCUGUUGUUAGAGAAGAACAAGUGCUAGCGUAACUGUUAGCGCCUUGACGGUAUCUAACCAGAAAGCCACGGCUAACUACGUG
rnacentral:rRNA from 1 species